CGGCGGACGGGUGAGUAACACGUGGAUAACCUACCUAUAAGACUGGGAUAACUUCGGGAAACCGGAGCUAAUACCGGAUAAUAUAUUGAACCGCAUGGUUCAAUAGUGAAAGACGGUUUUGCUGUCACUUAUAGAUGGAUCCGCGCCGCAUUAGCUAGUUGGUAAGGUAACGGCUUACCGAGGCAACGAUGCGUAGCCGACCUGAGAGGGUGAUCGGCCACACUGGAACUGAGACACGGUCCAG
rnacentral:rRNA from 1 species